rnacentral:rRNA from 1 species
GACGAACCGUGCGAACGUUGUUCGGAAUCACUGGGCUUAAAGGGCGCGUAGGCGGUUUCUCAAGUCCGGGGUGAAAGCUUUCGGCUUAACCGGAAAGGGCCUUGGAUACUGAGAAGCUGGAGGGAGGUAGGGGCCGUUGGAACUUCCAGUGGAGCGGUGAAAUGCGUUGAUAUUGGAAGGAACUCCGGUGGCGAAAGCGAACGGCUGGAUCUCUUCUGACGCUGAGGCGGCGAAAGCUGAAGGGGAGCAAACGGGG